rnacentral:tRNA from 1 species
GCCUCGGUGGUGAAAUUGGUAGACACACAGGACUUAAAAUCCUGAGCUUCCAGGAAUGGGGCGUGCCGGUUCAAGUCCGGCCCGAGGCACCA